GACGAACGCUGGCGGCGUGCCUAAUACAUGCAAGUAGAACGCACAGUUUAUACCGUAGCUUGCUACACCAUAGACGGUGAGUUGCGAACGGGUGAGUAACGCGUAGGUAACCUGCCUGGUAGCGGGGGAUAACUAUUGGAAACGAUAGCUAAUACCGCAUAAUAUUGAUUAUUGCAUGAUAAUUAAUUGAAAGUUGCAAUUGCACCACUACCAGAUGGACCUGCGUUGUAUUAGCUAGUAGGUGAGGUAACGGCUCACCUAGGCGACGAUACAUAGCCGACCUGAGAGGGUGAUCGGCCACACUGGGACUGAGACACGGCCCAGACUCCUACGGGAGGCAGCAGUAGGGAAUCUUCGGCAAUGGACGAAAGUCUGACCGAGCAACGCCGCGUGAGUGAAGAAGGUUUUCGGAUCGUAAAGCUCUGUUGUAAGAGAAGAACGGGAGUGAGAGUGGAAAGUUCACACUGUGACGGUAUCUUACCAGAAAGGGACGGCUAACUACGUG
rnacentral:rRNA from 1 species